rnacentral:misc_RNA from 1 species
GUCUCCGUAGGUGAACCUGCGGAGGGAUCAUUACAGAGUUCAUGCCCUAACGGGUAGAUCUCCCACCCUAUGUUAUCAUCACUUUGUUGCUUUGGCGGGCCGUCAGGCCUCGGCUUGGCUACCGGCUCUCGCUGGUAAGCGCCCGCCAGAGAACCCCAAACCCUGAAUAUCAGUGUCGUCUGAGUACUAUAUAAUAGUUAAAACUUUCAACAACGGAUCUCUUGGUUCUG